GAUGGAUUCAAACCAAUUCAUUAACAAUUUUUUUUGUUUGAUGGAUGGAUUGGGUGGAUUUUGUA
rnacentral:pre_miRNA from 1 species